rnacentral:rRNA from 1 species
GACGAACGCUGGCGGCGUGCUUAACACAUGCCAGUCGAACGGAAAGGCCCUGCUUUUGUGGGGUGCUCGAGUGGCGAACGGGUGAGUAACACGUGAGUAACCUGCCCUUGACUUUGGGAUAACUUCAGGAAACUGGGGCUAAUACCGGAUAGGAGCUCCUGCUGCAUGGUGGGGGUUGGAAAGUUUCGGCGGUUGGGGAUGGACUCGCGGCUUAUCAGCUUGUUGGUGGGGUAGUGGCUUACCAAGGCUUUGACGGGUAGCCGGCCUGAGAGGGUGACCGGCCACAUUGGGACGUGGAAACGGCCCGGGCCCCAACGGGGGGAAGGGGGGGGGAAUAUUGAAAAAUGGGCGGAGGCCUGAUGCACCACCGCCGGGGGGGGGAGGACGGCCUUGGGGUGGUAACCCGCUUUCCCCUGUGACGAGGCGGGGGUGACGGGAAUGGGGAAAAAAGCACCGGCUAACUACGU